GUCAGCUUGUUAGCUACAGUCUGCUGAACUUUCCAGUAAAAGAAACUUUAAGUACUUCUGUGGAACUAAUGGCCAAAUUAAAAGACGAAAUGCAAUUUCCCUGGCAUCAAGAAAAAUAAAGUUCAUGGUCACAGGGGCUACAGGCUAUGCCAGUGGAAUCAGGAGCAAGGCAGGUGUUACGCUUCAGCCAUGGUUUCACUCCUGACUCAAACUAAUUUUGGGAAAUCCCGCCUGGCCCAUAUGACAUCACUUCCAGUCCCGGUCCCAAUGACAUCACUUCCUGUUCCAGGCCCGAUUACCUUAUUUCUAGUUCAGAAUCUGCUAACCUCACUUCCUACCCAACCAUAAA